rnacentral:lncRNA from 1 species
CUGCAAUAAGGAUGAAAACUCAACCAAGUCAUUCUUGAGUCACAUUGCAGAAGUUAAAUGCAAAAAAGAACUCAUAAUAUAACCAACUACAUAUGAUGAACCAACCAUAUGUGAUAACGGUAAUGACUCCCAACUUAGCUAGUCUUACGUUACUAGACAUAGUAAUUAGCAUGAAGACAAUUCAACCAGUAAAUUACACAGCAAGAAUUACAAAGAGCUUUACUUACCUGUAACUUGGAGAUGAGGGACUGUACGGACUAGAAGGUGUGAUCUUUGGACUAGUAGGCGAGUAUGCUAGGGAAGGGCUGUAUCUGGCUGAGGGAUUGUAACUCGGUGAUGUAAGUAUGCUAGGGAAGGGCUGUAUCUGGCUGAGGGAUUGUAACUCGGUGAUGUAGGGCUGUAACUUGGAGAGGUAGGGCUGUAACUGGGGGAGGUGGGGCUAUAUCCAGGAGAGGUUGGGCUAUAUGCAGGUGAGGUGGGGCUGUAUGAUGGAGAAGUUGGACUGUAUGACGGAGAGGUGGGGCUGUACGAUGGAGAAGUUGGACUAUACGAUGGAGAAGUCGGACUGUAUGACGGAGAAGUCGGGCUGUACGCAGGAGAAGUCGGGCUGUAUGCUGGGGAAGUUGGGCUGUACGCAGGAGAAGUAGGGCUGUAACUUGGAGAUGUAGGGCUGUAACUUGGCGACGUUGGGCUGUAACUAGGUGAUGUUGGGCUGUAACUGGGAGAAGUUGGUGAAUACGAUGGACUUGUAGGAGAAUAUGCAGGACUUGUUGGGCUAUAUCCAGGAGAACUAGGGCUAUAGGUCGGGGAAGUGGGACUAUAACCAGGGGAAGUGGGGCUAUAACCGGGGGAGGUGGGGCUAUAUCCAGGGGAGGAUGGACUGUAUCCAGGAGAUGAUGGGCUGUAGCCUGGAGACGAUGUCGGUGAAAAAGCCAUUCCACCAGCGUAAGGAGAAAAUUGAGCAUCUGUAACAGGAGAUAACCGCAGAUUUGGACUCAGUAGAUAACUUGGAGACAUCAUGCCAUCGUGAUAUGGUGUUCCAGAAUGUGGUGAACGGGCAGGAGUCAUGCCAAAAUCCAUGCCCCCUUCCAUGUAGCUCGGGAGAGGGAUCUCAAUGGCUUGUUUCAACAUCUCCUCAUUCAGCAACAAGGAGCAGUCUCCUGUGCCAAUUGGUGCAAGCUGACCUAACAUUAUAUUUUCAGUGACACCCCUCAGGUAAUCUGUUUCAGCAAAGACAGCGGCAUCAAGUAGAAUGUCAACAGUUUCUUCAAACGAGCAUCUCAUCAUGGGCCCAGUAUCAUUGCGAUUAAUCCCGUGACGGGUGAUGGCCAUCAAAUGACCACGAUAUGUCAUGGUAUCACACAAUAUUGCCAAAUGCCGGUAAUUUACAUAAGAUCCAUCAAAAGAUAUGACAACACGCAGCUCAUCCAGUAAGGCUUUUCGAACUGCCUCAAUUCCAAGAACUUCGAUAACUUCAAUUAAGUGAUUACUUGUGGUCCUCCUCGCAUCAACAUCUUCGUGACAUAUGACAGCCAAAAGAUUAACACCUUCAGUAUCCAACAUCCACUCAUUCUCUGCCUUAAAUCCUUCAGUUUCAUCAAAUUUAUUUAGUUUACUGUUUUUUAUGAACACCUUAUUAAUAUCUGGAAUGCCUCGGAGAGCCAUUUCUGUUAACAUGUUACUUUCAAUCUUUUUGAGGAACACAUCAUCCUCGGCUGAUUCAUCCUGCAGCUCACCCUUAGGAGCUUCAUCAUUCAUAAUACGAAUACGGAGGAUCAGUUUCUCAGCAUUAUCAUCAUUAAAUAUGCACGUGAGAUCGUCAUCGAAUUCAAGAUUAAUCUUUUCUGCUAUGUCUGCCAUGCUGAGCUUCUUAUCUACCAUCAUCUCUCGAUUUAAUUCUAUUCGAAGCAACCAGGGAGAGAUCUUGUCAGGGUCAAUCUCUUCAUCAGGCAUCUCAUAAUAGGACUUCACAAAUUCAACGUCUUCCUCAAUAAUGGUGCUCAUGGGAUCAGGGUCAUACCAUACUUCUGUAGCUUGUGUAACACUCCGUAAAGUUGUGUAUUCUAGAGCACACUGGACAUUUUUGGCCCUCUCCUUUGUUUUACCUACUUCAGGCUUCAAGUAUACAGACAGCGAUGGUGUUUUUAUUUUCUUAGCAACGUUAAUAAUCUCCCUCAACCGCGGAACACCUAGAGUAACAUUUUUGGCACUCACACCAGCAUAGUGAAAAGUAUUAAGAGUCAUUUGAGUCGCAGGCUCACCAAUUGAUUGCGCAGCAACACAACCAAUCAUUUCCCCAGAUGCUACAAGUGACUGCAAGAAGCGAGAUUCUAUCUCACCAAUAACCCAGUCAAAAGCUUCACGAGUAAGUCUGUAUUCCUUUAAAACUCUCUUACUAGCCAAAGCACUGCGCAAUAAUAUAUUGAAAAAAAGUGUGGCAUUCUUCUGAGCUUCCAUACUCAGGUAAUCAUCACCGACAACCACCUUAAGCCUUUCUUGCAGCUUAUCAACAGCUUCCACGAUCUCCAUUGGGUGCAUAUCAGAAGGCCUUCUAAAGUCAACUUUAAAGGUCUUUUGUGCAUUUAACACAAGCCUCUUGAUAUUUACAGGCAGAGGCCAAGAGUUGUCACCUGUUGUCGCAAUCUCCGUCGCAAGUUGGUAUCUAUCCACUUCAAGUUUCUGAACCUCUGCAUCGAACACGCUGCGAAUUUCACGGAUUGUUUUUAGAUCUUCCACAGCUUCAGGCAACAUGUAACUAGGAUUCCAAUCUGGAUCAUCAAUCUCAUAUCUAUACAUGUUAUUGAAAUUUGAUUUCUUUAACUUCAAAGAUUCCAAUGGCUGUGAUUCAAUCCAGACAGAAUCCAUACCAUCUUCCCCGUAAAGAAACUGAAUAACAUCCCCCAAAGAGUUCCUGACAGUCCCAUCAUACUUAACCAUGAUAUCCUCCAUGGCCUUUACCAAUCGCCUCUGUAUGUAUCCAGUCUCAGAAGUUUUCACAGCAGUAUCUAUCAGACCUUCCCUACCACCCAUAGCAUGGAAGAAGAACUCUUGAGGGGUCAACCCUCUUAAAUACGAGUUCUCCACAAAACCACGACUCUCUGGACCAUAAUCAUCUUUAGUGAAGUGGGGCAAUGUCCGGUCUAUGAAUCCAAAAGGAAUUCGUUUACCUUCAACAUUCUGCUGCCCCACACAAGCAGUCAUUUGUGAUAUGUUUAUAAAGCUUCCCUUAGAUCCUGCAGUUACCAUAGCCUUAAGAUUGUUACUCUCCGACAAGCUCUUCUGUGCACUGCUUCCAGCAUCAUCACGGGCCUUAUUCAACACCUAAGGGGACAAGGAAUAUGUCAGGAUCAAUAAAUCUCAGGCAGAAAAAUGAAUUCAUAUUACAUACCUGGUUCACUCUGUUUUCAAAUGAUUCCAUCAUUGUUCGACCAGGUUCAGCCUCCAACUGCUUUUCCUGCGCAGACCUGAUAAGUUCCUUCACCUCAUUCUUUGCAUUUGAAAUGGUUUCAUUAAUUCUCUCCAUUGUUGAAGCAUCAGCAAUUGUAUCUCCAAUUCCAAUGCUAAAAGCAUUCUGCAAAAGCCAAUAAUUGACCAGCCAUUGUGUAUGUCCCAGAAACUUCCGAGCAGCAUCUGGACCAACUUCCUCCCUGGAUGCAUUAGCAAUGUUACAUACAAACAUGAGUAAGGAGCACAUUUAAGCAGCUAGUAUCCCAAGUGCAGCUAUAUUACAUGAAUGAAAUAAAGGCUGUGUUUGAGAUCCAUUUUUAUGUAGAAUAGGUUUUGUAAUGGUAAAGUUUUUGGAGAAUGUGUAGUUAAAGGGUAGAGAAAUAUUUUGGGUUUACAUGUAAUUAUUUUAUUGAGAGAUGUGUGGUUGAACGAGUUUGAAAGAAAAUGAAUUUUUAUAGAAUAGGGCUCAAACAGGGGCUAAACAUUUUUGGCGCAGAGUGAUCGCUGUGAUUAGUUGGCAACUAUUUUUCAGCCAAAAUACAUGAAUGUAUCACAUAAUAUCAGCAUCAACACAAUACAUGUGUAUUAUUCAAUGCAGAUUUUAGCAACACAUUUAAUUAAUCACAUGCAACACCAGAAGGCAUUCAAUCAAAGAUGGGAAUCUGUUUACUAAGCUCAUGAGCAUUCAUUAAAAAUGAGAAUCUAUAGAAUAAAAACAGUUUUCAUUGUAUUUUACGAAGUAGAAAUUAAACACUCUCGACAGCUAAAGCAUUAUCAAUUACCAAAUAACAUGUAUAAGACUUCCAGUGGAAGUCCCAAGUGUCUUCUUGCAUAGGGUGCCAGAAAGUAACUCUCCUUUCUCUAUUCGAACUUGAGUGUCCCCCGGAGUUAUGAAUCCUUUUUCAGAUUCUUGAUGCCAUGCUGCAUAUCUCAGGAGAUUUAUCUGUCUUGGAAUUAUUAGAUUGAAAACUUGUUUUCCAGUCCAAAGAGGCCUAGGUUUUAAAAUUGCUGGAGCUGGUACUUUGCCAUCAAAAUCCUCCCACCACAUCAAAAUGUUCAUGAAAACAUCCUGAACAAGAUUAACAUAAAGGGUUCAGACCCCACUCGGGGAAACAAAAGUAAAUUUACAACAACAAAGUACAGCUUGAUUACUUUCUCAAUAAAUGUAUCUCUUUUGGUAAUUUUCCGGCACCCUAAAAGUGUAUCUUGGACAAUCCCCAUUACAGGCCGAUUUGAUUGAGGUGACACAAUGCAUUUAGGAACCAACAUCAGUUCAAGCACUUCAGCUCUAGUUUCAAAUGACUGGGGAACAUGCAUGUUCAUUUCAUCCCCAUCAAAAUCAGCAUUGUAGGGCGAAGUAACAGACAAGUUUAGGCGGAAGGUUGAAUAAGGCAUGAUCUUGAUUCGAUGCCCCAUUAUUGACAUUUUGUGGAGACUUGGUUGCCGAUUGAACAGGACAAAGUCCCCAUCAUUCAAAUGCCGUUCCACCUGUAUUAAUGACAAUAAAUUUAGGCACGAGCACUCAAAAAUCUGAACCUAGAUCAUUGUUGCUCAUAGAGUUAACAAUGAUCACCUUAUAUCCAAGUUCUAGAUGUUGAUCACUGCUUUUCUUCAAGUACCGUAGAUCAAGCCUUUGUCCAUCAUCCCUAAUUAUAUACUUCGCCCCAGUUUUACCUGGAGGAGGAUGAGGCCCAUAUUCCACAAGCUCUUUCAACCUAUAUUCAAGGCCAAGUUACUAUGAGUGAGUAAACCAAUAUACAGGAAGAUAGACAAUCAAAAGAACAAAAUGAAACAAGGAAACCUUUCAAUGUUGUAAGGAGUAACUGUUUCUGGAUAGGUGAGAUUCAGUGCAAUACUCCAUGGUACUCCUAUACUAACAUACCUAUGCCUAUGCAGUUAAAAUAUCGUUCUUUCAGGAAAGCAUUUCAAGAAAUCAAGGCACCUGGGGAAGCAUGACGGUUGUUAUUGAAAACCACACAAUUGCUAGAGUUAUCCAUAAUAAGGAAAACUUGAAAGUUUUUAACUAUUCUGGAUUUGUUUAUGAGUAAAACUAGAUUUUAAAAGAGCAAGCAGCAUUCAUGAUACAUAGACAUAAAUGAUUGUCUGGUACAAGUUGCAUCACACUUGAUGUGAGAUUAAAUUAACAACAUUAGUCUCAACAGAAAUAGUUGUCUUAACUCCUUACAUAUGUCGCAUACCCUCACUGACUAUUAUUCAUCAUCUUGUUAAUAAAUGGAAGCUCUUCCUCUUCCUUCAGUGUGUGAAUGCUGGCAAGAUAUAGAUUCAAACAAGGAACUUAGAAAAAUCAAGUCAAUUCAGCUGUCUUUAGAAAACAACAGCCAUCAGUGAUUCUAUAUGUUAUACAAACAUUUCAGGGCACAAAGCUUGAUUUCAGAACUCCUCUGCAUACCACGUCUGCAACAAAUUCUCUCUUUCUUCCUCGCUGGAAAUUAAAAUGAGGGACCCAAAUUCUUGAAGGGGUCAUUGUUUAACGAUAUAGAUAAUAGGAAAGAAGAGAUAACAAUUGAUUCUUGCAUCUGGCGAGGGAAAGAGUGAAAACUAGAAGUUUAGGACCUCAAAGAGGAAUAAGAUGAUUGUGAGAGUAAUAAGAAGGCAGGUUGACCCUACUAAACGAUAAGUCACCACAAGACCAAGUAAAACAAUUAGUUUCUAGAAUCGAAAUUUGGAUUGAAGUAGUUGAGACCCAGCAAGAUGUGUGGUCCUCAUUACUGUUUCGAAAUCAUUAAUGGCAACACACCAUUUGAUGUACAAUACAUACCUUAAUGAAGUCAUGAUUUCAUUUGUAAAAUGAUGUCCAAUACUUACUUUGUGUAUUUCAUUAUUGUUUCCAUGGCAGCUAAAGAAUAAAAAAAAUCCGUUCACAGAGGACAUAAGCGGUAAUCUUAACAUGAAGAACUAAGGUGAACCAUUUAUGUAAAUAUCAGAUCAAAUUUUGAUGCAUUACCUAAGAAUCUAAGAUUCAGCUUCAUUAGACAUCAUAUUGGGUAUUCUAUUUAAUACAAAUAAAUGGAUCUGCCGUUACUGUCGACCUUUAUAAAGAGAAGCAUAACUCACACGCCUUGUUCAUAUAAUCUAUCAGAGAUCAGCACAGAUUCUUUUACUGUAUUGAUGUAACUACUUUUAUACUCCUAUUCCUUUUAUACUCCUAUUCCUUCCACGAGAUAUAUGCCAGGUGUGCAGUAUAUGUAAAAAGUUCAAAUUUACACAACUGUCUAUGCAGAAGCAAGGUCGAUGUAUAGGGAUGAUUUUACAAAUUUUUGGACAUGUCAGCUCCCAUCCAAUACAGAAUUUUCGUCAGAUUUUCUUUGCUUUUCACAUAAAGGCUCCAUAACCAAAAUUUCACAUGAUCUAAUAGUUGUUACUUGAUGCAUUUAAAAACAUUUUCUAAUCAGUAAUCAAAUCAUCAAAUUAUAAAUGAUCUUAUAAUGAGAAGCACAAUUCACAAACCUUGUAAGUAAAAUCAAAGUUCCAGAACAAAAAUUUCACAUGCCUUAAUAGCAUUACUUAAUGGAGCUCACAGUCAAUCUCUAAUCAAUACAUCAAAGUCAAAAUCUUCAGGACAUCAAACAUACCUCAUCAGCUAAUAUUUUGGAGCAAUUGAAGCAAACACAUCGCAUGAUGCUGAGCACAGUCUUCAAGAAGCCAAUAUGAAACAUGGGCUUCGCAAGCUCAAGGUGACCAAAGUGUCCAGGGCACUCUGCCAUGCUCGCCAUACAUGUCUCGCACUUCAUCUUCCGAUCAAUGGUCCCCAGACGUGGGUCACUCAAUCCCCCUGGUUUCGGCUUACCUCUUUCCGUCGUCUCACUAUGCUCUAUGUGAACCACAGACAUUUGCCUCUGCCGAAAGCAAAUAAAUUUCGAUAAUCAAUAAUUAAAGCGAAACAGAUUUUGGGAAAGUUAAAGAAAAACCAUAGAGAAAUGGGGACUUACGAUUUCAUCGGGACUGAGGAUGCCAAAUUGGACCACUCGGACCUUUGCCACCUCCGCCGGCGAAUAGGGAAAGCGUAUAUCCAUAUUCACCGUUGAAUCACCGACUUAUAAACUUUUAGGGUUUCGUUUAAGAAUCCAAUCAAAUUGCUAUAAACAGCUGAAGCAGAAGUGUUCAAGUUCGAUAUAGAUUUGUUGUAAUUUUUGGUCUUUUUUUGCUUAUUUUUUCAUUUAAUAUCUUUGAGUAGUUCAGAGAAUGAGAAAUUGUGAAAUACAGAAAUCUCCGAUUUCCGCCCCUUUGAAGAGGAGAGUCGGCCAAUUAAGACGAAGAUUUGGUGAUCUGAGUACUAUUUAUAGAUGGAGACACUGAUUAGUGCAAGGAACGCGUGUAACACGGACCGGGCUUUUUUAUGGGCUUUUGUAAAUGUUGAAACUUUGGCACUAAACAAAACUCUCAAAUCGAAUCGAAUAAUUUUCUUAAAGUUUAACAUCUGAAUGAAUAUCUGAAUCGAUAAUUAAUGAAUUUGGUUCAGUUCUAGGUUCUAGAACCAAUAAUCAAUUUUUUCUAAUUUUUUUGUAUCUUAAACAAGUCAAAUUAUUUUAUUUUUUUAAAAAUAAAUUUGUUAACUAAUUUACUUCAAACUCAAAAUGUAAUUUUUUCUAUUUCUUAAGUUAAAUAUUUGAAUCUAGAGACAAGUUUGGUUCAACUCUCGGUUCUAAAUUGAGAAUCGAUAAUCGAAUAAGAAAAUAAUUUUUUCAAAAUAAAUUUGCUAACUAAUUUAGUCUAAACUCAAAAUGUGAUUUUCCUAUUUCUAAUUUCCAACCCAGACCAAAUUGAAUCGAAUUGAUUUAAGUUUUAUCAAAAUCUCUUAUUCUAUAGUAGUACCUUUUUGUCGUCCUGAAAUCAAAUUGGAAACUUGUUUACGUCUCCCUUCAUUAUUAUAAGCUCACUAUAUUUCUCUUUUUACGAUAUUAACAAUCAAGUCUAUUAAAAACUUUAAAAAGAGAUGCGCAAAAGAAAUCACAAGAUUGAACUACUUUAUUUUGUAAGAGCUAAAAUUGAAUAUGUUAUUUCUUGAAUUAAUGUAAUAUUGUUGUAAAUAUUAAAAAAAACGAUUAUUGCAUGGAACUUGGAAUCAAAUGGAAUUAAAUUGAAUUAAACCGAAUAGAACCGAAGCUCGAACAGUUCCAUAAUUAAAUUUAAAUCCGACAAUUCCACAUAUUAAAUACUUGAAAAUUCAAGUUUGGUUAAAGAGAGCCGAAUCGGAUUAUGCCCGGUCCUAGUGAAAUCAUUUAUAUUUUAAUUUUAGAAAAAUUUCAUAUCUAAGAGUUUAAUUAUGAUCAAUUUCAAAACUAAGAAAUAAAGUUUAGAACUUCAAAAAUCAGGUACUAUUAAAUUUUAAUUGAUUAAAAAUAUAUUUUAUUGAUUAAAUAUAUUAAAUCACAAUUCUAUACAACUUGGUGACAAAUUAGCGAAUUAAUUGAUUACAAAUUAUUUCCUGUUAAAAAUAAAAAAAAAUUUGGUCACAAAUUAUUCCCGAUCAUAAAUCAAAAUUUUUACAAGUCACAAUUUAUUCAUCGAUCACAAAUUAUCAAAUUAAUUUGUCACAUAUUAUUUCUCAGUCAUAAAUUAUCGAAUUAGUCGAUCACAAAUUACCAAAUUUUGAGUCACGAUUACACAUUCUUUUAGGUCGCUUAUCAUUUAUUGGUCACAAAUUAACUAAUUUAUCGAUCACACCACUCAAAUAAUUGAUCACAACCUUUUUGUUCAUCGUCAUAGCCACCUCCACUCCACCAUCCUCGUCGUCAUCCCCCCCGCCGCCGCCACCAAUAACAACAUCAAACCUCACCAUCGGCACUGCUGCAAACCACCAGAAUUGUGUUCUUCCAAGCUAAUCCAUCUAACUCACACCUCCACCAAGCUCGAAGCGCUUCCAUCGUGAUUGCGACAGCAAACAAUAACCAGCUUCCUUCACAUUACAAAUCACGCCACCUAAUAAACCAUAAUAUCCAUAAGCCAAUGCCAUCAGAUCUAUAGCAAUUAGAGAGAAGACGGUCGGAGUUUGUGGUGAUGGUCAAUCAAAUCUAAAGAAAAUAGACAAAAGCCUCACCGACGACUACUCGUGGGCUCGCGCAAAAUCACAUCUUCGUUCCCUUUUCUCUAGUGUCUCGCAGGCGGCUGAAUCGCCGCUCCCAUUUCUCUAACGUCUUCGCAGACGAUGAUUGUGAGGUAGUAAGAAAGAGAGGUAGAGUAUAGAGAAUGAAAAAUUAAUUGAGAAUGUGGUAAUGAAUAUUAAGGUUUGGGGUGUGGGUAAUUAAUAGAAUUUUAUAAUAUUAUAGUUUAAUAUUAAAAAUUUGUAUUAUGAUAUUGUUUUUGUAUGUAUAAAUCACAAUCUUCAUUUUUGAAACGUAAUAUUUAAAAGUACGUCUCAAUGUAAUUUUCUCUUUAGCUUUUUAUACAAUGGAGUCAAAAAAUUUGUGCUUAAUUAUCUUGAGCUCCAUUUUUUAAUUUUUUUUAAAAUUCAUAUUUAAUCAUAUAUUUUUUAAUAAAAUAAUUUUACAUGUAAAUUAAAAACUUUUUCUUACUUUAUAAACAUACUUUCUCUAAAAAUCACUAUCACAAAACUAAUUUUUCACAAAAAAAAAUAAAAUAAUAAUAAUAAAAAAUAAAGCACACAAACAAAAGGAUUAACACAAACAAAAGGCUUAAUCUUUUAACAUAUUUAUUCUGAAAUAUUAUGUUUUUGUUUAUUUGUGUAUAUUCGAGAAAAAUAAUAAAGAAAAACCUUUUUUUUCCAUGUUAUUGCCAUCUUUUGUUAUUACCCGUUUCCAUUUGAGGUCUAAAAUUUAUGCCCUCGUUUGGUUUGGAUAAAAAUUAAAUUUCAAUAAAUUUAGAUAAAAGUUGAUAAAAUAUAUUAUUGAAAGUUGAUAAAGUUGUGGAUCCUAUUGAAUAUAGGGUUAUAUAUAUAUAUAUAUGAGGGUGUUUGGUAGGAAUUUUUAUGUGAAAAUACAUUUUUGAAUAGUAAGUUGAUGGGAAAUGUGUGGUUGAAAAAUAAGAAAAAGUUUUUGAUUUACGUGUAAUAUUAUUUUAAUAAAGAAUGUGUGGUUGAAAAGAAGAGAGAGAAAAAUGCAUUUUGAUAAAAAUGGGUGCCAAACAGGGCCUAUAUAUAUAUCUCAAAUAAGUACAAUUGAUAAUUACUUUGUGUUUUCACAAUAAUUGAUCGUUAGGUAGAAUGCUCAAGUACUAAAUAAAAUUAAAGGGCUCCAACUUAUCCUUAACGACACAUGUUAUAUGCAAUACUAAAUUUUUAAAUGCAGCUUGAGGUUGAUUUUAAAUAGUUGCCUAUUCAUAUCAUUACACAUUGGUCCCAAAAAAUAAAAAAUAAAAAAAAAUUACCCGAUUUACCUUUGGGUAAAUUUCUAAUUAGAUAAUCAAUAAUGCUACUCAGCCAAAGCAGGAGACAGGGUAGAAAACAGGAUUUUAAAAUUGCUGAUGUGGCAUAAAGAAAUGAAAGGAAAAUACCAUAAAAAAUAACAAAUGUCAGGCCCAGGGCUGCAACUUGAAAACGAAAGUGCUGCAGCCUUUUUCGUUUUUCACUUAUGUCGUGUUUGGCUAAACCUAAGCACGUUAUUUAUUUUUAACUCUUUAGCUCCAAAUAUAAUUCUGAUUUUGUUUAGCUAAAAAUAAUAUUUUUAGUAAAUUUUAAUAAAAAUUGAUAAAACUUUUGGAUCCAAUGAAAUGUGGGUUCGAAAAUGAGUUUUAGAAAAUUAGGACCAAACAUUGACAUAUUCAUUAAUUAAUAAUUCAUCUCACAAUUUCUUAAAAGUAAUUUUACCUAAUAGAGAAGUUUUAAAAGUAGCCAAACAUGCUCUUAAUAAGGAAUUCUAGUGUCAACUUGUUUAAAGAAUUUGAGCUUCAUCCAUAAAUUCUUGUCGAUGAAAAAAAAAGCUUUUUUCUAAUUUUUAAUAAUCAUGAAAAACUUUUUUAAUAAUCAUCCAUAAAUUCUAGUGUUCAUAAUUUUUUAAUAAUCACGAAAAACUUCUAAAUUCUCCGUCGAAAUGAAGAUUUAGCCCAUGUUUUGACUUAAUCAAAAAUUAGAAAAAUGUUUUUUUCUAAUUUUUAAUAAUCAUGAAAUUAUAGUCCCAAUUAAGAUGCUGAAAAGUUUUUCUAAUUUUAUUUAUGUCAAAUAUGAGCUAAAUCUUCAUUUCGACAAAGAAUUUAGAAGUUUUUCGUGAUUACUAAAAAUUAAUUAACACUAGAAUUUAUGGAUGAUUAUUAAAAAAAGUUUUUCAUGAUUAUUAAAAAUUAGAAAAAGCCUUUUUUUCUCAUUGACGGAGAAUUUAUGGAUGAAGCUCAAAUUCUUUAAACAAGUCGACAAUAGAAUUCCUUAUUAAGAGCAUGUUUGGCUACUUUUAAAACUUCCCUAUUAGGUUAAAUUACUUUUAAGAAACUGUGAGAUUAAUUAUUAAUUAAUAAAUAUGUCCAUGUUUAGUCCUAAUUUUCUAAAACUCACAUUUCAUUGGAUCCAAAAAAUUUAUCAAUUUUUUAACUACAAGUUUUAUCAAUUUUUAUUAAAAUUUACUAAAAAUAUUAUUUUUAGCUAAACAAAAUCGGAAAUAUAUUUGGAGCUAAAGAGCUAAAAAUAAAAAUAAAUAACUCGUUUAGGUUUAGCCAAACACGGCAUAAGUGAAAAACGAAAAAGGCUACAUCACUUUCGUUUUCAAGCUACAGCCCUGAGGCCUGACAUUUGUUUUUAUUUUAUGGUAUUUUCCUUUCAUUUCUUUAUGUCACAUCAGCAAUUUUAAAAUCCCAUUUUCUACCCUGUCUCCUGCCCUGGCCGAGUAGCAUUAUUGUUAGAUAAUAGGUCAUAAAUUAAUUGAUGGGAUGACUCAUAUAAUAUUUGUCAGAAAUUGUCCUUCAAAAAAACAUAAUUCAUUGCAUGUGAACCUCAAAUCAUCAGCAAAAAAAUCAAAUUUUUUUGUUCAAAAAUUGCUAUCCCUCACCGGAAAAGCUUCCUAUCCUUAUGAAUCUGACAAUACUAUAUUAUUUCCUUUACUUGUAUUGGGCAUAUUUACUUUGUACAUUGGAUCUUUAGGAAUUCUAAUAGGUCAAGUUUUACUACAAUUACUUGAAAAACAUCAUUUUUCGAUUGGGUAUAACUUCAAUGAACGAGAUGGAGUUAAAAAUUGUACAUGGACAACUUGUCACACAUACAAUGUUUUUAAAAAUAAAAAUAGUAUUAUAAAAUAACAAAUUUUAUUAAUAUGAUUAAAUCAAAUCUCUGUUACCCGACGAUAUGAAAUUUCGGCGCACUUGUCUUGUAGUUAGAAAUGAGCAUCUUAUCAAUGAUUCACAUACAUUAAUGCUUUCAAAACAUCUUUCAGUCGAAUCUUGAUCUCGGACAGACCUUCCAACCUACAUUAAAAGUAGACUUCAACGUUACAGUGCUAACCAGAGGUGUAGUAGGUCUUUUGCAAUCAUAAAUACCAUUGGCUAUAGUCAUACUUUCGUUAAAAAUCAAUUGUUUCUUCUUCACUUUUUCUAAUUGUUGCAUUACUAGACAUAUGAUGAUUAAAAUAAUCAAGUAAUUCAUCAGGCAAUAGAUUUGGACUUAUGUUUGAUGUCCAAUUAUAUGCAAUAGACACAUUAGAAGAAUCCACUAUAUCAUAUAUAUACAUGUUAAUGCCUUCAAAUGAAUUUAAUAUUUUAGCUUUGUCUUCAAAAUUAGCCGGAGGAGUAGGUGUAGUGGUGCUUGACUAAUAUUUACACAAAUUCGUUGUGCAUAUAAUUCAUACAUUUUACAUAAAAUUUAUUUUAAGUUUCUACAAGUGAUAAGUGUGUUAAAAGUUAAAGCAUUUAAAAUUUGUUCAAUUACGUAUUUAAUACUUGAUAAAUUAUAUCAAAUGUCCAUGAUGACAAGUCUUUCCAAUAUUUUCUAAACUUUAAUUUUGCAGCAAAUACAAUUUCAUUAAAAUUAGGGUUCUUUUUGUAUUUAUUAAUAGUCCUUGCAAUGAUAUAAAGAUGUUCAAGUACCAUACAACUAGUAGGAUAGUACACUCCGGAUAAAAAAAAAUUGUAGAGUCAUAAAAACUUGUCAAAAUUACUUUAAUUUUAAAAGCUAAAUUCUAAUAAGAUUUAUUCAAAACAGUGCCAUCAUCGUUUUUAGUAUGCCUAUUAAUAAAAAAUUCAGUUAUUAGAUGUUUAUAUCCUUCGCAUGAUUUCAAUAACAAGUAAGUCGAGUUCCAUCUAUAUCCUACGUUGCUAACAAAUUUUUUUUGUAUUCGUCACUCCAAAUUUGUUGCAAAAUUCUUCGAAAUCCCUGAUUCUUUUCAUUUAAUUUUUCAUAUGUUUCAAGUCAUCUUGCACAAUUAAAUUAAAAAACAUGAUAUACACAACGAACAUGAAAUAAAUAAUAACCGAAAUUAGGCUGUUGUAUCCUACACAACUUAUAAACAACUGGCUUAUUAAUACUAAUAUUGUCAAGUGUAAAAAAGCAAAUUUUACUCUGGCAAUGAUAUUUUUUAAUAAUUCGUCAAAUAUAUUAUAGCGUUGAGAGAAAGCUCAAUUAUUUUAAAAGCAAUAAUUUUUUUUUAUGUAUACACCAAAGUGAGUCUAUGUAGUGUGCAAUUAUAUCUAUAUAAUCUUUUCUAUUAAUUCGUUUCCAUAAACUUGAAGUUAAAGAUAUAACACCACCAUAUUUUUGUAGAUCAGUAAUCAAAUGUUUCUUUGUAUUAAAGAAAUAUUUUAUUGUAUCAAAACGAAAAGUAUUUCUAUUUAUUGCAAUGUAAUUCGGUUGAAGAUAUUUGUUGACCCCAAAAAAUGUUGUCAACAGAUGUCGGACCCACCCGCGCACACGCGAGCAAAAGUCCAACACGCUAAGACACAUGAAUGGUCCAAAACGGACAGAUCAAGGGCGUGGGAGUAGCUCAACGGCGAGGGACGAGAAUGCUCGAAAUCCGACGGGAUGUUAUUAGAUCGAUUGUACAAUAAUUACCGAUCGAUAUUUGUAAAUGUGUAUCUAAAUAUGUAUGAACUCGUUUGUGUUGCAAGAUAAUAUAAAAGAGAGAGUUGAGUAAAGUAUGGUUAUUUGUAUUGACUCUUGCAUUAGCUUUUGUAUGGGGUACAUGGGGGAGUAUUUAUAGUGUCACAAGUUAGAUCGUGACCUUUGGUUCGGGGUACACGUGGUCUCAUCCGGUUAAUUUUACAUGUCAAAUUGUAGGCAUCAGCCGCACCUAGCCUGCUAUACAUUUAUUGAUUGGCAAAGCCACUUCUAUUAGUGACAAGACUUAACAUUUACAGUCAUGACAAACGCCCUAUCAAUCAUUCAAGUAAGAUCUUUGUGCAGAGGAUCUCUUGGGAGAAGUGUCUAUGGAAGAUGCUGCUUUGUGAUUCGGAGGCUGCUAUCUCGGCUACAGAGCUUCGGCCAACAGGGCCUCGUCCAUCUUCAAAGGGCCUCGGCAUAUGGGCUUCGGAAGCUCCUUAAGAGGCAAUGAUAGAUGGGCCUCGGUAUAUAUGGGCCUAGGCUUCUGUGGACCUCAGGGGGACUAUUGUUACGUGUUUGCACACUUGAGCAACCCAUCGAGGCCCAUAGCCAAUUUAUGCCGAACUACGUGGCACUCAAGUCGAGGUGAUUUGCAUAGCCGAGACCCAUAAAUCGAGGUCCACAGGAGCCUAGGCUCAUAUAUAUCGAGGCCCAUCUAUCAUUGCCUCUUGAGGAGCUUCCAAAGCUCAUAUGCCGAGGCCCUUUAAAGAUGGACGAGGCUCUGUUGGCCGAAACUCUGUAGCCGAGGUAGCAGCCUCCAAAUCACAAAGCAGCAUCUUCCAUAGACACUUCUCCCAAGAGAUCCUCUGCACAAAGAUCUUUCUUGAAUGAUUGAUAGGACGUUUUUCAUGAGUGUAAAUGCUAAGUCUUAUCACUACUAGAGGCAGCUCUGCCAAUCAAUAAAUGUAUAGCAGGCUAGGUGUGGCUGAUGCCUACAAUUUGACAUGUAAAAUUAACCGGAUGAGACCACGUGUACCCCGAACCAAAGGUCACGAUCUAACUUGUGACACUAUAAAUAUUCCCCCAUGUACCCCAUACAAAGGCUAAUGCAAGAAUCAAUACAAGUAACCAUACUUUACUCAACUCUCUCUUUCUUAUUAUCUUACAACACAAACGAGUUCAUACAUAUUUAGAUGCACAUUUACAAACAUCGAUUGGUAAUUAUUGUACAAUCAGUCUACGAAUAUCCCGUCGGAUUUCGAACGUUCUCGUCCCGCGCCAUUGAGCUACUCCCACACCCUUGAUCUGUCCGUUUUAGACCGUCCACACGUCUUAGCGUGUUGGACUUUUGCUCACGUGUGCGCGGGUGGGUCCGACAUCUGUUGGCAACAUUUUUUGGGGUCAACAGAUUGGCGCCGUCUGUAGGAACAUUUUUAUAUUGUUACGUGUUUGCACACUUGGUCAACCCACCGGGGCCCACAACCAACUCAUCCUGAACUACGUAGCACUCAAGCUGAGGUGAUUUGCAUAGCCGAGGCCCACAACCAACUCAUCCUGAACCACGUAGCACUCAAGUCAAGAUGAUUUGCAUAGCCGAGGCCCACAAACUGAGGUCCACAGGAGCCUAAGCCCAUGUAUACCCAGGCCCAUCUAUCAUUGCCUCUCGAGGAGCUUCCGAAGCCCAUAUGCCGAGGCCCUUUGCAGAUGGACAAGGCUCUGUUGGCCGAAACUCUGUAGUCGAGGUAGCAGCCUCCGAAUCACAAAGCAACAUCUUCCAUAGACACUUCUCCCAAGAGAUCCUCUACACAAAGAUCUUUCUUGAAUGAUUGAUAGGACGUUUAUCAUGAGUGUAAAUGUUAAGUCUUGUCACUAGUAGAUGCAGCUCUGUCAAUCAAUAAAUGUAUAGUAGGCUAGGUGCGGCUGAUGCCUACAAUUUGACAUGUAAAAUUAACAGGAUAAGGCCACGUGUACCCCGAACCAAAGGUCACGAUCUAACUUGUGACACUAUAAAUACUCCCCCACGUACCCCAUACAAAGGCUAAUGCAAAAAUCAAUACAAGUAACCAUACUUUACUCAACUCUCUCUUUCUUAUUAUCUUGCAACACAAACGAUUCAUACAUAUUUAGAUACACAUUUACAAACAUCGAUUGGUAAUUAUUGUACAAUCGGUCUAAUAACAUCCCGUCGGAUUUCGAGCGUUCUCGUCCCACGCUGUUGAGCUACUCCCACGCCCUUGAUAUGUCCAUUUUAGACCGUCCACGUAUCUUAGCGUGUUGGACUUUCGCUCAUGUGUGCGCGGGUGGGUCCAGCAUCUGUUGACAACAUUUUUUUGGGUCAACAGAUUGGCGCCGUCUAUGGGAAUAUUUUAAUAUUGUUACGUGUUUGCACACUUGGGCAACCCACCGGGGCCCACAGCCAACUCAUGCUAAACCACGUGACACUCAAGUCGAGGUGAUUUGCAUAGCCGAGAUUCACAGGAGCCUAGGCUCAUAUAUACCCAGGCCUAUCUAUCAUUGCCUCUUGAGGAGCUUCCGAAGCCCAUAUGUCGAGGCCCUUUGAAGAUGGAUGAGGCCUUGUUGGCCGAAGCUCUAUAGCCGAGGUAGCACCCUCCGAAUUACAAAGCAGCAUCUUUUAUAGACACUUCUCCCAAGAGAUCCUUUGCACAAAGAUCUUACUUGAACGAUUGAUAGGACGUUUAUCAUGAGUGUAAAUGUUAAGUCUUGUCACUAGUAGAGGCGGCUAUAUCAAUCAAUAAAUGUAUAGCAGGCUAGGUGCGGCUGAUGCCUACAAUUUGACUUGUAAAAUUAACCGGAUGAGGCUACGUGUACCCUGAACCAAAGGUCACGAUCUAACUUGUGAUACUAUAAAUACUCCUCCAUGUACCCCGUACAAAGGCUAAUGCAAGAAUCAAUACAAAUAACCAUACUUUACUCAACUCUCUCUUUCUUAUUAUCUUGCAACACAAACGAGUUCAUAUAUAUUUAUAUACACAUUUACAAAUAUUGAUUGGUAAUUAUUGUACAAUCGAUCUACGAACAUCCCGUCGGAUUUCGAACAUUCUCGUUCCGUGCCAUUGAGCUACUCUCACGCCCUUGAUCUGUCUGUUUUAGACUGUCCACGUGUCUUAACGUGUUGGACUUUCGCUCACGUGUGCGCGAGUGAAUCCGGCAUCUGUUGACAACAUUUUUUAUGGUCAACAGAUUGGCGCUGUCUGUAGGAAUCCAUACAAUAACCACGAACAACCUUGUAGUGAAAGUUUAUUGAAGAGGAACAUUUGGGCAUCCCUCUUGAAAAAUAAUUUGUUCUUGAAAAAGAAUAAGAGAAAGCCCCACAACUUACCGAAAAUUUGAAGGCCAAACAAAGAAAAUGAGUUCAAACGAAGAUACAUCCCCCAGGAGGGUAAGAGAAAAUGCAGGUGUGCCCCCUCCAGCAGCUAUCCCAACAGCUCGGUACUGACUCCACCACCGCUAUAGAAGAGGUGGAAUGCGAGUGACAACCUGGCUAUUAAGAGAAAUGGUUGCCAUGACAGCCAACAUGAGGGACAUUGCUAACCAGAACAUGGCUAUAAGGGAACUCAUGGCCCAAAUGCAAGGCCAGGGAGGCUUCCCUAUUCCUUUAUAUGCCCCCCAAGGGUACUACCAGCAAGAAGAUGAAGUUCAAAGUCAGAGAGUUGCCUCGUCGGACUAUAGCCCAGGUAGAAGCCCAUUUGAAAGGGAAGUGGAAGUUGAUAUUUCUUCCAACUAUGCUUCUGAAUGACCCAUCGAAGUCCCUUUAAAGCAUGAUAACUUUCCACCUCCAUAUGAGCAAGAGCGAAGACAUAGGAAGUCGGGUAGUGUAUUUGACAGAAUCAGCCCUACAGAACUGAAGCCUAGGCAACAACAGCCUCGCGAGCCUUGGACAAUGCCACAGCCCCCACCUCCAAAGCCUCAACAGUCGGAAGAAAGGCAUGAAAAUGCCCCCCGUGCUGCACCACCUAAAAAUAGGCGCCAAAGGAGGGAAGAGGAGGCUAGAAACCGUCCCGGCACCUCUCACCAACCAUUAAGGUAUGAGGCCAAUGAAAACGAUUCAGAUGAGCAACAGAGGUCUUGUGACUUGGACGACGAUGAUGAAAAUCUACCAUUCUCAAGGGAACUAAGGAGUGUCCAGGUCCCAAACCACUACGUUAUGCCCAAGAUACCAAAGUAUGACGGAAGAGGCGACCCAAAGAAGCACCUGAAUGCUUACAAAACUCACAUGAGCCUAAGGGGUGCCACCCCAGCUGUGAAAUGCAGAACUUUCCACUUAACAUUUAGCAGAGCAGCUAAAAUUUGGUAUAGUAGGUUACCACUUGGGAGCAUAAGAAGUUGGCUUGAAUUCAAGACCACCUUCUUGAAGAGGUUUGCUAUGAGCAAAAAGGGAGAGACUCUCAUCCAAUGUCUCCAAGAUAUGAGACAGACACAUGGGGAAUCCCUAAAGAGCUUUCUAUCAUGCUUCAUUGAUGAAAUGACGUACUGUGUAUAAGUCACCGACCGUGAAGCGUUAUUUGCAUUGAGAGGAGGCCUGAACAUAAACACCCUGUUUUGGAGGGACGUGCAAAAUCAAGACCCCACCACCUAUGACGCCCUACUCGAGAUGAUGAGACGGGAGAUCAUCAAUGAAGAAUAGAUUGAGCAUAGGAACAGAGCAAGUAGAUGUCUCCCACCUCCACAAAGACAGCAUGCUAGAGGGCUGACCUCUCACUUGAUGGAUUACCAAAUGAACCAAGCCGGUAACGAGAGUUCUGGGCAAGCACUUGCUAUCAUCAUUCUAAACGCAGUUCCUACCUUGGCAUAUGAGGAUAUCAACCCAGUUAUUGACACUCAGCAGAUGGGAACUCCGCAAGGAUCCCGCAGAGGGAGAGGCCGAGGUUGGGGUUCGGGACCUAGAAAUAGGUCAAAUCCGAACCUCCUCGAAUACUGCAUAUACCACCGGUCCUAUGGCCACGACACAGCAAAUUGUCGAGACUAUGCUUACCGUACCCGACAAGAGCCCUCUAGGGAUAGAAAUGAAUCGUCCCAGGCGAACAGGCCCCCACCUAGGUAUGACAACCGGCCUGAGCAUGAAAAGGCCACUCCCCGUCUAAGGGAUGUUUCUCGCGACGAAGGGAGCACGAUGCAGAGAGGCCUAGGGAAGGGCGUAGACACCGAAGAAAUUGACAAACUCAGGAUGAGGCCCCUAUCCACGAGGUGGAUACCAUAUUUGGAGGCCCAUAUGUAGGCGGUGAAACACGAAAUGCUAAAAGGAAUUACGCUCAUGAGGCUAAGCACCCCACGCUGACCAGUUAUAUUGUGGACCACAGCUUCUAGAGGAAUCAAGUUCCACCUAUUGUCUUCACCUAGGAAGAUGCUGAAGGAGUUCACUGCCCCCACUGCGAUGCACUUGUGGUGAGAGCAAUCAUAGCCUAGAAUGGGCUCAAACGAAUGUUAGUUGACAACGGUAGCUCUGUCAACAUUCUAUUCGGGUCCACGUUCGGCAAGAUGAUAAUGGACCAUGAGUUGACGCCUGCCUCCACUCCCUUGUACGGAUUUACUUGAGAUAGCAUCACUCCGAGAGGAAAGAUCACCCUUGCAGUGGAGAUGGGGGAGUCUCCCCAAAUUACAAUGAACUUCAUGGAGUUUCUCAUUGUUGACAGUCGAUCGGCCUACCACGGAGUAUUGGGUAGACCAGCUCUAAAGGAAUUGGGUGCAUGAAAUUCUCAACGGAAAAUGGGGUGACAACGGUGAGAAACAACCAAAGAGGCUCGAGAGAGUGUUACCUAAGCUCCAUCAGAAAGGUAGAGCCUCGGGAUGUCCAUGUGAUUAUUGCCAACAUAGUCAUGGCUGAUGUCCCAGGUGAUGCUCCCUUCGAACCGGAAGAUGUGGAAAUGAUCGACGUACCACCCAUUCUGGAAGCAUUGAUCAUCAAUGAGAUUGACCCCUACAUAAUUGAACACGAACCUCAAGCAUCCCCAGUUGAGGAAUUCGAGAGCUUCUCGAUAGACCCCCAAGACCCAUCCAAAUUGUUGAAAGUGGGCAAAGGCUUGUCCAACAUUUUGAAAAAAAAGAACAAGGAUUUCCUAAGUAGGAAUCUUGAUGUCUUUGCUUUGAGGCAUGAAGCCAUGGUAGGCAUAAAUCCCAAAGUCAGUUGUCACCACUUGAAAAUUGAUCCUAAGGUUGCCUCGCACAGACAAAAGAAAAGAGCCCUCAACCCUGAGAGGUAUGAGGCCCUAAAGGAAGAAGUUUAGAAGCUCAUCCAAAAUGGUUUAAUUAGGGAGGCCACCUAUUCGAGGUGGGUCUCCGACCCGGUUUUAGUGAAGAAACACAACGAAAAAUGAAGGGUAUGCAUUGAUUUUACUAACCUCAACAAAGCUUGCUCGAAGGACAGCUUUCCACUCCCAAGGACUGACCAACUGGUAGACUCCACGGUUGGGCAUGAGUUGUUGAGCUUCAUGGACGCAUACUCCGGCUACAACCAAAUUCCCAUGCACCCAGCCAAUGAGGAAUACACCUCUUUUAUCACAGACAAAGGCCUUUACAUAAGACGAUGCCCUUUGGGUUGAAAAUCGUCGGGGCCACAUAUUAAAGGCUUGUCAACAAAAUGUUUGUAGACCUCAUUGGCAAGACAAUGGAGGUCUACAUAGACGACGUGCUUGUGAAAAGUUUGGAAGCUGGGAACCACAUAACGCACCUCAACAACACCUUCCAAAUCUUGAGAAAGUAUAAGAUGAGGCUCAACCCCCUCAAGUGCGCUUUCGGGGUUACCUCCAGCAAAUUUUUAGGAUAAUGGUCAACCAACAUGAAAUUGAAGCCAACCUUGAGAAGAUUGAGGCCCUAUGUAAGAUGAGGUCCCCCCAAAAGCCAAAGGAGGUACAAAGCUUGACUGGACGAGUGACCGCACUUAGUCACUUCGUCUCCAAAGUUACAGACAAAUGCCUUCCAUUUUUCAAAGUGUCGAAAGCUGGGAAGAAGUUCCAAUGGACCGAAGAAUGUGAAGAGGCUUUUCAGGGCCUGAAAAAACACCUAGGGCAGGCCCCCCUUCUCUCCAAAUCGAAGCCCGACGAGAUUCUUCAGCUGUAUUUGGCCUUCUCCAAUGAGGCCAUCAGUGCGAUUCUUAUCCGAGAAGAGGGGACCACCUAAUUCCCCGUAUACUAUACAAGUAAAGUACUCAUAUCGUCGAAAAUCCGUUACCUCGAUAUGGGGAAGCUCGCUUUGGCCUUGAUCACGGCUUCCAGGAAAUUGAGGCCCUAUUUCCAAGCCCACACCAUACAUGUGUUAACAAACUUUCCCCUGAGGCAGGUACUUCAAAAGCCCGAUGCCUCAGGAAGAUUAUUAAAAUGGACAGUGGAGCUAAGUGAAUUUGAUCUCGUGUUCAAGGCUAGGGUGGCCAUCAAGGGCCAAGCCUUGGUUGAUUUUGUGGCAGAAUUUGUCAAUUUACCCAAGGUGGAUGAAAUCAUGGAACAUGCCGAGCUCCCUACGUGGAACUUAUUCGUGGAUGGAUCGACUGGGGAUACCGGCUCAAGUAUCGGAGUUGUCCUCAUCAGCCUGGAAGGUCACAAGUUGAACUCAACUGUGAGGUUCGGGUUCAAGGCCACCAACAAUGUGGCAGAAUACGAUACACUUCUUGCAAGCCUCAGAUUAGCCAGAGAAACGCAAGUGAAGAGGCUACUUAUCAGUAGUGACUCUCAACUGGUCGUUAGCCAGGUGAACGACAACUUCUCAGCCAGAGAUAAAACUAUGGCCUCCUACUUGAAAAUGGUGAUAAACCUCAUCCCAUCCUUGAAAAGUUUGAGUUGAUCCAGAUCUCCUGCGUUGAAAAUGCACAUGUGGAUGCACUCUCCAAACUUACAAGUAGCAAGGACUCCGAACUACUCACAGUAGUCCCAAUAGAGCACCUCCUUAUACCAUCAACCGAGGCCCCCAAUGUGAUGUGGGUGGCCGGGACUCCUACCUGGAUGCAGCCCAUCGUAGCCUACCUGAAGGACCAGUACCUCCCACUAAUAAGUGAUAUUCAAUAUAGAAAUUCUUCCCUUCAUUUUGCUCUCAAUUUCAAUUCUUCUUCCAUCUCUCUCUUCCUCUUCCCAUUGUACAUCAGCAAGCUUAAAAAAUAAGCAAACUUAGGUACAAAAAUUGACUUCCAUGUUAAGUUUCUGGAUAUUUUCUUUGGCACUGAUUGGGGUUUAACAAAAUUCAUAGCAUUUCCUGUUUAUUUGUCUAUUUAUCUAUCUAAGAAGAAGAGAAGAAGUGGAAGAGAGGAUUCAAACAUUCAGCAAAAUCAGAAUACCAUAAAAUUAACUACUUCAAGAAUUUCACAGCAACGUGAAACUAUAUAUUAAUAAAUAAAUAAAUAACAAAAUGAAGAAUGCUGAAAGUCUAAACUUCAUGAUAUAUGGCUACCAGAACCACUUCUCAACAAGUAAUCGCAAAAUUUCUUGUCUUUGAACUUAUCACAUGGCAACACAAACUAAAACAAAUCAGAUCACCAACUUCAACAAUGUUAAACUGGAAAUUUGAAAAAAAAGAAGGAUGGAUACUUUAAUGCUGAUUCUCAUACUGAAAUGUUCUUCAGAAUGAGAUAGUAAAAGCUGGUACUUAUACAUCCAGAAAAACUACCUUGAUCCCAAAGAAUAAGGAGAAAACUUAAAGAUGAAUAACGGAUUUAAAGUGCUUUGAUCAUCUUAUAAGAUAGCAAAACAAAUUUAAUGCUUGCUUGGAUUGUUUAUAAGUUGCUUAAAUUAUAAUGUGAUAGAAGUGAAAUGAGUAGUGAAUAAGUGGAUAGUAGUAGUGGAUCCUAAAAAAUGAGGUUAAAGUUUGAGUUUGACCUUUUAAUUAUAAUGUCAAUAAGUUUUCUUAAACAAGCACUUAAUGUGAAAUAGAUAAUGAAUAAGGCAGUAGGUUAAUACAUCUAAACACAUAAAUGGAGUUCAAAAUCUGCUUACAACAGGAGAAUAAAUAAGUCAGGAAGUAGAAAUGCACUGAACUCUGCAUUAUGUUGAACCCAAAAAGUGCGCCAACAGAUGCCGAUCCCACCCGCGCUUGCGUGGGCGAAUGUCCAACACGCUAAGACACACGAAUGGUCUAAAACGAACGAUACAAAGGGCGUGGGAGUAGCCCAACGACUCGGGACGGUGACGUCCGAAAUCCGGUGGGUUGUUCGUAAUCCGAUUGUACAAUAAUUACCAACCGGUGUUCAUAAACGUAUAUGUAAAUGUGUAUAAAAUCGAUUUGUGUAUUGCAGGUAAAAUGAGAGAGUUGAGUAAAAUGUAGUUCUUUGUAUUGAUUCUUGCAUUAGCCUUUUGAUUUUACACAAGGAAGUAUUUAUAGUAGUACAUAUGAAAUGGGAGCCCUUGGAUGAAGUGGCACGUGGCCUCAUCUCUUUAGUUCAAACAUCUUUUCCUAGGUAUGGGGCUUGACUUGCUAGCUUACGGUGCAUUUAUUGCUUGUGCAGGGCCUCCAUGCUAGCGACAAGACUUAACCUUUAUGCUUAUGACAAACAUUCCAUCAAUCAUUCAAAUAAGAUCUGUGCAGGCGAUCUCUUGGGAAAAAUGACCAUGGAGGAUGUUUCUUUGCGGUUCAGAGGCUCGUGCAUCAACUUCGGGGCUUCGGCCAUUUGUUAUGAUACUUACAAAGGAGGGCCUCAGCUGCUCUCAACGGGUUCCUGCAGCCUGGCUUCGGUUAGUGGGCCUCGGACAAAAAUGAGCCUCGACAGAUGGACUUCGGCUGGGAGCAGUUUGGAUGUAGCCCACCUCGGCAUUGUGUGCCACCUCGGUAAGAAUGCCACGUGGAUCACCAUGAGUGGGCCAUUGUCCAGGUAGGUUGGCCAGGUGUGACAACAAGCAACAAUAGUCCCCCAAGUCCAAGUAUAUUCAUUUAUGUAAUGCGUGGACUUUAAUGGAGUAAGAAUUGAAAGAAUUUUUGAACCUCCUGGACCCCUAUAAAAGGUGAUGAAAUCCCAUUUUUCAGGAUUUUCGAACACUUGCACUCUGAUAUUUUCUCAAAUCUUCAAAAUUUUCCGGCAUCGAGGUUGACUGUAAUUACAAUUUCCAGCCAAUCUCCAUUUGUGUUGAAUUUCGUUAGGUAUUUUUUGCAGAAAAUUCUAUUUUACUGUCUUUAUACUAGAAAAAUGGAGUCCACUUCGGGUAGGGAGCUAGUGACAGUGGCGUCUUUAGAUCAUAGGGUCGGUCAGAUGGGGGAGUCCGAGGUGGAUAGGUAUACCAUGACUGAGGACCCUGUAGAUUAUACCCAGGAGUGGGGGGCCUCUAGGGUACCUUCGAACAUGACGUGGAAGAGGUUGGGGGAACUUAGGGAGAGGUAUAGUGUACCCCACUCCAUAGAAAUGUUAGUCCCCGAGCCGAACGAGUGGGCCUGCUAUCCGAGGCCCGGCUGUGUGGCCGUCAGUGAAUACCUGUUCAAGGCAGGUAUGCGUCUACCUCUGCACCCCUUCUUCAGGGCGGUGCUUAGGAACUUUAUGCUGUCCCCGACCCAAGUUUUGCCGAAUGGGUGGAGCCAGCUGGUCAGCUCGUACUUCCUGUGGAAGGAAGUGUCGCUUGGGGAGGACAUGCCUCUUCAUGUAUUUAUGACCCUAUUCCAGCCUCGGGUGAU